rnacentral:rRNA from 1 species
UACGUAGGGGGCAAGCGUUAUCCGGAUUUACUGGGUGUAAAGGGGGCGCAGACGGCGAUGCAAGCCAGGAGUGAAAGCCCGGGGCCCAACCCCGGGACUGCUCUUGGAACUGCGUGGCUGGAGUGCAGGAGGGGCAGGCGGAAUUCCUGGUGUAGCGGUGAAAUGCGUAGAUAUCAGGAGGAACACCGGUGGCGAAGGCGGCCUGCUGGACUGCAACUGACGUUGAGGCCCGAAAGCGUGGGGAGCAACCAGG